GAUGAACGCUGGCGGCGUGCCUAAUACAUGCAAGUCGAGCGAACAGAUAAGGAGCUUGCUCCUUUGACGUUAGCGGCGGACGUGUGAGUAACAUGUGGUUAACCCACCUAUAAGACAAGGAUAACUUCGGGAAACCGGAGCUAAUACCGGAUAACAGCUGGAACCGCAUGGUUCUAAAGUGAAAGAUGGUUUUGCUAUCACUUAUAGAUGUACCCGCGCGGGAUUAGCUAGUUGGUAAGGUAACGGCUUACCAAGGCAACGCUAGGCAGCCGACCUGAGAGGGUGAUCGGGCACACUGGGACUGAGACACGGUACAGAGUCCUACGGAAGGCAGAGAUAGCGAAGCGAGGGAGAAGGGCGGAAGCCUGAAGGAGCGGCGCAACGUGGGUGAAGAAGGGCUUCGGGUCGUAAAACUGUGUUAUUAGGGAAGACCGCUUGUGUAAGUAACGAUGCACGUCUUGACGGUACCUAAACAGAAAGCAACGGCUAACUACGUG
rnacentral:rRNA from 1 species